GUUUUAAGCACUUCGCGUGGGGAGUACGACCGCACGGUUGAUCUUCAAAGUAAUUGACGGGGCCCCCCCACAAGCGGUGGAGCAUGUGGUUUAUUUCGAAGCAACGUGAAGACCCUUACCAGGUCUUGACAUCCUUUGACCACUUUAGAGAUAGAGCUUUCCUUUCGGGGACAAAGUGACAGGUGGUGCAUGGUUGUCGUCAGCUCGUGUCGUGAGAUGUUGGGUUAAGUCCCGCAACGAGCGCAACCCUUAUUACUAGUUGCCAGCAUUAAGUUGGGCACUCUAGUGAGACUGCCGGUGACAAACCGGAGGAAGGUGGGGACGACGUCAAAUCAUCAUGCCCCUUAUGACCUGGGCUACACACGUGCUACAAUGGAUGGUACAACGAGUUGCGAGACCGCGAGGUUUAGCUAAUCUCUUAAAACCAUUCUCAGUUCGGAUUGUAGGCUGCAACUCGCCUACAUGAAGCCGGAAUCGCUAGUAAUCGCGGAUCAGCAUGCCGCGGUGAAUACGUUCCCGGGCCUUGUACACACCGCCCGUCACACCAUGA
rnacentral:rRNA from 2 species